rnacentral:rRNA from 1 species
UAGGGAAUUUUUCACAAUGAGCGAAAGCUUGAUGGAGCAAUGCCGCGUGAACGAUGAAGGUCUUUAAGAUUGUAAAGUUCUUUUAUUUGGGAAGAAUGACUUUAGCAGGUAAUGGCUAGAGUUUGACUGUACCAUUUUGAAUAAGUGACGACUAACUAUGUGCCAGCAGUCGCGGUAAUACAUAGGUCGCAAGCGUUAUCCGGAUUUAUUGGGCGUAAAGCAAGCGCAGGCGGAUUGAAAAGUCUGGUGUUAAAGGCAGCUGCUUAACAGUUGUAUGCAUUGGAAACUAUUAAUCUAGAGUGUGGUAGGGAGUUUUGGAAUUUCAUGUGGAGCGGUGAAAUGCGUUAGAUAUAUGAAGGAACACCAGUGGCGAAGGCGAAAACUUAGGCCAUUACUGACGCUUAGGCUUGAAAGUGUGGGGAGCAAAUAGGAUUAGAUACCCUAGUAGUCCACACCGUAAACGAUAGAUACUAGCUGUCGGGGCGACCCCCUCGGUAGUGAAUUAACACAUUAAGUAUCUCGCCUGGGGUAGUACAUUCGCAAGAAUG